rnacentral:rRNA from 1 species
AGAACGAACGCUGGCGGCGCGUUUUAAGCAUGCAAGUCGAACGGUAACCAUCCUUCGGGAUGGCUAGAGUGGCGAACGGGUGAGUAACACGUAGGUGAUCUGCCCUUGAGUUGGGGAUAGCCCAUGGAAACAUGGGGUAACUCCGAAUACGCUCGCGACCCUGUGGGGAUGUGAGGAAAAGCGCUUCGGCGCUGCUCGAGGAUGAGCCUGCGGCUGAUUAGUUGGUUGGUGGGGUAACGGCCUACCAAGGCGACGAUCAGUAGCCGGCCUGAGAGGGUGAGCGGCCACACUGGGACUGAGAUACGGCCCAGACUCCUACGGGAGGCAGCAGCUAAGAAUCUUCUACAAUGGACGAAAGUCUGAUAGAGCGACGCCGCGUGGGUGAUGAAGGCCGGAAGGUUGUAAAGCCCUUUUCUAUUCGAGGAAUAAGGUGUGGAGGCAAUGCCACACUGAUGACGGUAGGGUAGGAAUAAGCCCCGGCCAAUUACGUGCCAGCAGCCGCGGUAACACGUAUGGGGCGAGCGUUGUUCGGAAUCAUUGGGCGUAAAGGGCGCGUAGGCGGAUAUGCAAGCUUGGUGUGAAAGACCGCAGCUCAACUGCGGGAGCGCGCUGAGAACUGCAUAUCUUGAGUUCAAGAGGGGAAGCUGGAAUUCCAGGUGUAGGGGUGAAAUCUGUAGAUAUCUGGAAGAACAUCAGUGGCGAAGGCGAGCUUCUGGCUUUGAACCGACGCUGAGGCGCGAAAGCGUGGGGAGCGAACAGGAUUAGAUACCCUGGUAGUCCACGCUGUAAACGAUGUGCACUAGGUGUUGGGCCGUUGAAGGCUCAGUGCCGUAGCUAACGC